CAAACGACUGCGCAUGUGCGAAAGCGCCACUUGAAAUUAACAGCACAAAAUGGCGGAUUCAUUGCCUCGUGGUAGUUUUUCGACCAAUGAGAAUACAUUGGAAGUCAACAGUUAGUUUUGGAGGAAAAGUCCAAUAAAGAGGAACCAGUGGAAACUUGCAUCAGAAAUAAACACUAAUACCAGGUUGAUAAUUGAGGCACCAGUGAUGAUCCAUCACAAAAUUCUACCUUAUCAUACAGCACUGUGGAUCCUGCAAGAUUGUGCAUGCCAUCUGGAAGCAUCAUGUGUUUGUGAACUUGAGAAUCAGUAAACAAAAGCAAUAGCCAUAUGACAGUGUCUGCCCCUGGAAAAAAUUAUCAAGCUCAGAAAAUGAAGAGUGAUGCAAUAGAAAGAAGAGUCAUCAUGUGUUCAGGUUGGACAAUGGUGUAUGGGUUUUGCAGACAUGUUUCCCAGGGAUGAAUUCCAAAUGGGGGAGAGGAUAAGGU